GAUGAAGAACGUAGCGAAAUGCGAUAAGUAAUGUGAAUUGCAGAAUUCAGUGAAUCAUCGAAUCUUUGAACGCACAUUGCGCCCGCCAGUAUUCUGGCGGGCAUGCCUGUCCGAGCGUCAUUUCAACCCUCGAACCCCUCCGGGGGGUCGGCGUUGGGGACCUCGGGAGCCCCUAAGACGGGAUCCCGGCCCCGAAAUACAGUGGCGGUCUCGCCGCAGCCUCUCCUGCGCAGUAGUUUGCACAACUCGCACCGGGAGCGCGGCACGUCCACGUCCGUAAAACACCCAACUUCUGAAAUGUUGACCUCGGAUCAGGUAGGAAUACCCGCUGAACUUAAGCAUAUCAAUAAGCGGAGGA
rnacentral:misc_RNA from 1 species